rnacentral:rRNA from 1 species
UACGAAGGGGGCUAGCGUUGCUCGGAAUUACUGGGCGUAAAGCGCACGUAGGCGGCUUGUUAAGUCGGGGGUGAAAUCCUGGAGCUCAACUCCAGAACUGCCUUCUAUACUGGCGAUCUCGAGUUCGGGAGAGGUGAGUGGAACUGCGAGUGUAGAGGUGAAAUUCGUAGAUAUUCGCAAGAACACCAGUGGCGAAGGCGGCUCACUGGCCCGAUACUGACGCUGAGGUGCGAAGGCGUGGGGAGCAAACAGG